rnacentral:tRNA from 2 species
GGAGAGGUGACCGAGUGGCCGAAGGUGUACGACUGGAAAUCGUAUGUGCCCCAAAAGGGCACCGCGGGUUCGACUCCCGCCCUCUCCGCCA